rnacentral:rRNA from 1 species
GACGAACGCUGGCGGCGUGCUUAACACAUGCAAGUCGAACGGAAAGGCCCUGCUUUUGUGGGGUGCUCGAGUGGCGAACGGGUGAGUAACACGUGAGUAACCUGCCCUUGACUUUGGGAUAACUUCAGGAAACUUGGGCUAAUACCGGAUAGUAGCUCCUGCUGCAUGGUGGGGGUUGGAAAGUUUCGGCGGUUGGGGAUGGACUCGCGGCUUAUCAGCUUGUUGGUGGGGUAGUGGCUUACCAAGGCUUUGACGGGUAGCCGGCCUGAGAGGGUGACCGGCCACAUUGGGACUGAGAUACGGCCCAGACUCCUACGGGAGGCAGCAGUGGGGAAUAUUGCACAAUGGGCGGAAGCCUGAUGCAGCAACGCCGCGUGCGGGAUGACGGCCUUCGGGUUGUAAACCGCUUUCGCCUGUGACGAAGCGGGAGUGACGGUAAUGGGUAAAGAAGCACCGGCUAACUACGUG